UCCAGCCCUAAUGGUGCUGUGGCUGUGUGGUUGGGCAUGGUGGCUGUGGGUUGGUGAUCCUGGAGGUCUGCUCCAACCCUAAUGAUGCUGUGGCUGUGUGGUUGGGCAUGGUGGCUGUGGGUUGGUGAUCCUGGAGGUUCCCUCCAACCCUAAUGAUGCUGUGGCUGUGUGGUUGGGCAUGGUGGCUGUGGGGUUGGUGAUCCUGGAGGUCUGCUCCAACCCUAAUGAUGCUGUGGCUGUAUGGUUGGGCAUGGUGGCUGUGGGUUGGUGAUCCUGGAGGUCUGCUCCAACCCUAAUGAUGCUGUGGCUGUGUGGUUGGGCAUGGUGGCUGUUCACUCCAACCCUAAUGAUGCUGUGGCUGUGUGGUUGGGCAUGGUGGCUGUGGGGUUGUGGUUGGACUUCAUCUUAGAGGUCCUUUCCACCCUUUAUGAUUCUAUGAUGAUAUGUAGGUUGUUGCUUUCCAGUUAGGGUGGGAAAUGAAAUAAGUGCUUUGGUGUUGUGCAAGAAGCCCCCUGCCCUUUAUUUUAACUAAGUGAAGAUGUUGUUUCUUGGUAGUCUGGAAAGAUCUCAGCCGUUGUUGCUGUCGUAGGUGGGGGAUAUUUUUGUAUUGCUUUCGCAGCCCAAUCUCCAAUAGGGCUUUUCUUCACCAAGUGGAUGGAGCUGAAGGAUUAUGUGGGAGGUGGGAGGCUCUCACUCAUCUUCCUGUGAUGUUUCAAGGUGUUGGGAGACAAAAGCAGCCUUGCUUGGAGCAGGUUGGGUAGAAGCCUCCAGAGCCCUCUUUCAGCCAACCCCCACGACAGUGAUUUGUCUGAUAUCAUUUAGCAUCUUUAAACAUUGUCUUCCCGAGUAAUGGGAUGGCCUUGGUCCACCAAGAGCUUAUAAGUGAAGUAAAGAGCAGAUGUGGCAUUUAGGGGCACAGUAGGGGUGGGUGGGUGGUUGGAGUAGAUGAUUUUAGUGGUGUUUUCCAACCUUAAUGGUUCUGUGAAGUGCGCUGAGCUCAGUGGGAGAAUCCCGUGAGUGGAUGUGUUGUCUUGUUUUGUAUUUUUGUUGAUUGCUGAAGACUGGAAACUCUUGGAGGAGGAAGGAGGGCAGAAUGAGAACCUCACACUUGCAAAACUCACUGCUGGGUGGUGGAAUGCUUUCCGUUUGACCCUGGAUAAGUUGAGGACUAGGGGGGGGUGGAACUGGGCUGUUGGGAGCACUCUGGCAAGCAGGGUGAGGCCAUACGAUCAUAGGAUAUCCCAGGUUGGAAUGGGCCCAUAGGGAUCAUCGAGUCCAACUCCUAUGAGGGUUUUGUGGGGCUUCUCGGUCAUUUGGGAUCUCCAGAAAGUCCCAAGAAGCUGAUAGAAAACAGAGGAAAAAAAUGGGCCUUUGCUUCUUCAUUGUGUUGCCUUCAUCAAGAGGACCGGUGUUAGCGUGUUGGGUGGCUGCAAAGAGCAAAGGAGCUCUCACCAAUGCAGAUUAGAAGCUAAGGGUGGAAAACACCUCCAGGAUCCUCCAUGUCCAACCCCGGCCCACUCCACCACGUCCCCAAAUGCCACAUCUCCGUGGUUCUGGGACCCCUCCUGGGACAGAGAUCCCACCACAUCAGGCCCUGUGUUUGCAU